UGCCCCCACAGCCCUGUUAGGGACAGGAGGAAAACCUCGCCCUAACUUGAGCAAAGUCGAAGGCCCGGUUCUCUUUAGACCGGAUGGGGGCAGAGGCCCUGCAACACCCAUAUGUGCCCCCACAGCCCUGUUAGGGAUAGGAGGAAAACCUCACCCUAACUUGAGCAAAGUCGAAGGCCCGGUUCUCUUUAGAUCGGAUGCGGGGAGAGGCCCUGCAACGCCCAUGUGUGCCCCCACAGCCAUGUUGGGAACAGAAGGAGAACCUCGUCCUAACAUGAGCAAAGUCGAAGACCCGGUUACACCU
rnacentral:lncRNA from 1 species